UGUUCGUCCAGCCCUUGCCAAAACGGAGCCACGUGUUCUGAGCAGAUAGGUGGCUAUCGAUGCAAUUGCGUUAAGGGAUUUAUUGGAACACACUGUGAAACAGUUUUUAUAACAAGGUGCGAGCGCAGUGAGUGUAGCAAUGCCGGCACGUGCACGCAAAUUGGAAACAACAUCACGUGCACAUGUGAUGUAGGUUUCACUGGCGAACGGUGCGAUACAGUGUUCCAAGGAUGCAUACCAGUUCCCUGCAUAGGAGGCGAAGCUUGCGAGAAUAAGACUGAAACAUGGGUCUGCACGUUGACUGUUUCUCUAAAAGGCA